rnacentral:rRNA from 1 species
GAUGAACGCUGGCGGCGUGCCUAAUACAUGCAAGUCGAGCGAACAGACGAGGCUCUUGCUCCUCUGACGUUACCGGCGGACGGGUGAUUCACACGUGGAUAACCUACCUAUAAGACUGGGAUCACUUCGGGAACCCUGAUCUAAUACCGGUUCAUAUAUUGAACCGCAUGGUUCAUUAGUCAUCGCCCGUUUUGCUGUCCCUUAUUGAUGUAUCCUCGCCGCAUUAGUCAGUUGGUAAGGUAACGGCUUACCAAGGCAACGAUGCGUAGCCGACCUGAGAGGGUGAUCGGCCACACUGGAACUGAGACACGGUCCAGACUCCUACGGGAGGCAGCAGUAGGGAAUCUUCCGCAAUGGGCGAAAGCUUGACGGAGCAACGCCGCGUGAGUGAUGAAGGUCUUCGGAUCGUAAAACUCUGUUAGUAGGGAAGAACAAAAGUGUAAGUAACUAUGCACGUCUUGACGGUACCUAAACAGAAAGCAACGGCUAACUACGUG